rnacentral:ncRNA from 16 species
CACAACUUGGUAGGCUAAGAAACUCGUCCUGUAACAGGUCACCUGGGGCGAGUAGAGCUAGUGGUGAUUCUACCCCAGGUUAAG